UGUCCUUGUUGUAUUAGAUUUCAUAUACCCAGAGAAAGCAAGAGCCGGGAAUUUGUAAAUAUGUGGUGCCUUCGCAAUUUGAUCAAUAAUGUUCUGUGCCCAUUUCUCAUGUGGCUUCUUGUUACCGGCCAGUUGAAUAUUUGAAGCGACAACUUUGUGUUCCGGUGAUCCUUGGUCUUUUUUGUUCUACAUAUGCUUUUAAAACUCGAGUUCUGCUGCUUUGCAAUUUCAACUUCCACUUUGAUUUUGGUUCUUUCCUCUUGAUUUUGGCUUUGAUUUGCAUGCUUCUUACCAUUGAAAGUUGAAAAACGUUACUGUUAAUCUAGUUAUUAGUGAUGGCCAACAAUAUAUAUUAAGCUGAUUCGAGGUACCACUGCACAGGCAACCUUCUGUUGGGUCUACUAUGAGGUUCAAGCGCCUAACAUCAUGUAAAACGAGGGUCUAAUACUAUGUUAAGUUACCAAUUUUACCUUUAAGAGGGCGUUCGACAAUGUUUCUAUUCAAAAUGUUUUUUAUAUAAAUUUUUUCUCUAAAAGUAUUUUUGGAAGAAUCAAUAAGCAAUUAUUAUAUACGAAGUGUUUUUAAUAGAAAUUUUUUCUCUAGAAGUAUUUUUGGAAGAAUCAAUAAACAAUCGUUACAUACAUGGUUGAUUGUAUCAUACAUAUAUUAAUUUUUUCAUAAAACAACUUUUAAAUGUCAUUAUUGUUUAUUAUAUUAUUUUUAGAGUUUUUCUCAAUAUUUUCAUAAGUUUUGAUCAAUUUUAAAUUCAUUAAUAUUUUGUAUCAAAAUAUUCGUCGAUAUAUCUCUGAUAUAUUUAUAAAAUCAAAGUAUUGAUAUAUCCAUGAUUGCUGAUAUUUUCAUUCUUUAACACAAUUUAUUUAUAAAUGUAAGUAGAAAUUUUAUUUAUGAGAAUACUAGUCUAAAUCUUCCACUGCAGUCGGCAUAGCUAAACUAUUUUAGAGAAAUUUUAUGCUAAUCAAUGUUAAUCUCUAGUAUGAUGUACAUGCACACAUCCAUUCAUGUAAGUACAUGCAUAUUGUACAGUGCCAUUAAACAUUCUAUCUGACAGUCUUCCUUCUUCCUGGUGAUUUAUGAAAAAGAUUGUAAUUUUCUUUCCGUUCAGCUUGAGUAUCAAUCAACACUACAAAAGGUUGCUUUUGAUAUAUGAAUGCCAGAUAAAAAGAUCAUGAGCUUGUUAAAGUAACUACUGAUAAAGCUUGACAGACCACUGAUCAUUAACUCAAUUGAAACUUGUUCCAUUAGCUUCGCGUGGAAAAUGUUACAACUUAAAUAACUCACAAGCCAUGAAGAGCUCCAGUUGAACUACGCUGAGCAGUGUUUCUUUAGCUUUCUUCUUAGUGAGCCUAUUUCUUCUUAUGAUAAAAUUUUAAGUAUGCAUCCUGUGUUUGGAUGCAGUUGCAAGCUCUUGCCAAACUAUCUAACAGGUUGUUUUUUUCUCUCUCUCUCUAGGAUUGUUCUGUAUACCUUUUUGCCUCUAAAAUUUCUUCAUCAGGCAUAUAAUGCUUUUUUCUUUUUUCUUUUUAAUAAUUUUGUGUCUUAAUUGACUACUGUUUAGGCCAUUGACUUGUCUCUUUGUGGAUCUUUGUUUUUUUUUUUUUUUUUUUUUUUUUUUGAUAUUAUCCACAAGAAAUUUUCCUAAGAGUUGAGGAUCCUCUAAUUGCUCGCUGACUUCUUGCUUGUGUUUAUUGACUUGUCUAAUGAGAUUUUAAGAUUUGAAGGAUUUAUCAUUCUUCUACUGGUUCAUGGAUUUUCCUUUUUCUUUCUGGAGGCUCAAUUCAAAGACAAUGCUACCUGAAAUUGGAUUUUCUGGUUCCAUAUCAUGGUUUUGACCUUGAGUUUGUUUUCCAGUUUUAUUUGAUCCAUUCUAGUCCUGAUCAAUGAUAUUCAAGCAGAAGUAACCAGGAUGGUGUUCGAGUCAUACAUCGUCAGUAAUUGAAUUAUUCUGACUAUUGGGUAGACGCGUUUUUGCCCUGAACCUGAAGCUUUGGAAGACCAUGGCGUGUGAUUUAGAUGCAGCAUUAUUAAAUUCCUGGUUGUGAGUUUGUUGAGAAAUUGUUUGGAACGAUUUCUAUUUAAGUUGUCGUAGUCACUCAUGUGGGAGAGCAGUUUCAUGGGACUUUACUGGAAGUCACUGAGGAAACCUACUGGUGAACCUCACCAUUUUUCUUCAUGUGAACACUUUCCUGGAAAGAGAGAUUUUAAGGACCUUUCAGUAAGAAAUCAUCUGCAGAGAUUGACCUUGUCGGCCAGCUCUGCGUUUGUGGUUACAAACGAGACGGGCUAUCUGGGUCCCAUAAGUUAAAUUUUUUCUAACUGCUAAUUAAGAAAACUUGGCCUACACAAGAUCUUUCUGUACAAUUGAACCAGAGUUUCUCUUCCUGUAAGCAGCCAUGGCCGAAGCAGUUCUAUCUGCACUAGUAGAAGUAAUAUUCGAAAAGAUGUCUUCGCAAAUCCUGGAGUACAGAAUGCUGGGAGGCACUGAGAAGGAGAUGAGCCAGCUUCGGAGCAUAUUAUUGACGAUUCAAGAUGUGCUUGAAGAGGCAGAAGACCAACAAUUAAGGAAUAAGACGGUGAAAAAUUGGUUGAUGAAGCUUAAGGAUGCCGCUUAUGAUGCAGAUGACUUGCUGGACGAGUACAUGAUGGAAGCUCUAGAGUAUGAAGUAGGGGCUGAUGAUAACAUGAAGUUCAAGGAUUGCAUGAUUAAUAUGGUAUGCAACUUCUUUUCACGGUCAAAUCCGUUCAUUUUCCAUUACAAAAUGAAAUGCAGGUUAAAGCAGAUAGGGGAGAGGUUAAAUUCAAUUGCAAAUGAGAGGUCCAAAUUUCAUUUGAAAAAUUCAAAUGUUAAUCAGACCUAUCAGUCAUCUGGGAGACUGCAGUCGGAUUCUUUCUUGCUUGAAUCUGAUGUUUGUGGAAGAGACAGAGAUAGAGAGGAAAUAAUUAAGCUACUGACAGAUAAUAGCCAUGGGGAUGUUUCAGUCAUUCCAAUAGUUGGUAUAGGAGGGCUAGGGAAGACAACUCUCGCAAAACUGGCCUACAACGACAAACGGGCGGACAAGCAUUUCCAGCAAAGAAUCUGGGUUUGUGUCUCUGAAGAUUUUGAUGUGAAGCGGAUUAUGAGAGCAAUUUUGGAAUCUGCCACUGGGAAUACAUGUCAUCUUCAAGAGAUGGAAGUGAUUCAGCAGCGCAUUCGAGAAUUGGUCAUGGGGAAGAGGUUCUUACUAGUUUUGGAUGAUGUAUGGAGCGAUGAUCAUGACAAAUGGGAGAGAUUGAAGAAUUCAGUGAGACAUGGUUCUGAAGGUAGCAAAAUCUUGGUUACAACUCGUAGUGAAAAGGUUGCACUGAUAAUGGGUACCAUUUCCCCUUACUAUUUAAAGGGCUUGCCAGAAGAUGAUUGUUGGUCUUUGUUUGAGCAGCGAGCUUUCAAGCUUGGGGUACCAAAAGAAGCUUCAAUAGUUGCAAUCGGAAACGAUAUUGUGAAGAAAUGCAGGGGUGUACCUCUUGCAGCAAAGACUCUUGGAAGCUUGAUGUGCUUCAAAAGAGAGAAAAGUGAGUGGGUAGAUGUAAAAGAUAGUGAAAUAUGGAACCUACUUGGAGGAGAAAAUGGAAUUCUACAAGUAUUGAGACUCAGUUAUGAUGAUCUACCAUCACAUCUGAAACAAUGCUUUGCAUACUGCUCCAUUUUUCCCAAGGACUACUGCAUAGAGAAGGAGAACUUGGUCCAGCUGUGGAUGGCUGAAGGAUUCCUUCCAUCAUCUGGAAGAAAGGCACCAGAAGAAGUUGGGAACGAGUACUUCAAUGAGUUACUAUGGAGGUCUUUCUUUGAGAAUGUCACCAAGGACAGUGAUGGUAACAUAGUGAAAUGUGGAAUGCAUCAUCUUUUUCAUGAUCUUGCAAGAUCUGUUUCAGGUUCAGAUUGCUCAGCAGUAGAGGUUGGUAGGCAAGUAAGUAUUCCUGCAGCCACACGGCACAUAUCAAUGGUCUGUAAAGAGAGGGAAUUUGUAAUUCCAAAGUCCUUACUGAAUGCUGGGAAAGUCCGCUCUUUCCUUCUAUUAGUUGGGUGGCAAAAGAUUCCCAAAGUAUCUCAUAAUUUCAUCUCAAGUUUCAAAUCCUUGCGUGCUUUAGACAUAAGCAGCACACGGGCUAAGAAGCUAUCUAAGUCAAUUGGGGCAUUGAAACAUUUAAGGUACCUCAAUCUCUCAGGUGCUCGCAUCAAAAAGUUACCAAGCUCUAUUUGUGGUCUUUUGUAUCUGCAGACAUUGAUACUCAAGCAUUGUGACCUUCUGGAGAUGCUACCGAAAGAUUUGAGAAAGUUGAUCUUCCUCAGACAUCUAAAUAUUUAUGCAUGUAGAUCAUUGGUCAAGCUGCCAAAUGGGAUUGGAAAACUCAGCUCCCUUCAAACAUUACCAAUUUUCAUAGUUGGUAGGGGAACUGCUUCUAGCAUUGCUGAGUUGCAGGGCCUGGACCUGCAUGGAGAAUUAAUGAUUAAGAACCUUGAAAAUGUGAUGAAUAAAAGAUGUGCCAGAGCUGCAAAUCUGAAGGAGAAGAGAAACCUUCGUUCACUGAAACUUUUAUGGGAGCAUGUUGAUGAAGCGAAUGUAAGAGAACAUGUUGAGCUUGUCAUUGAAGGCCUCCAACCAAGCUCUGAUUUAAAGAAGCUGCAUGUUGAGAAUUAUAUGGGUGCAAAUUUCCCAUGUUGGCUGAUGAAUUCAUCUCUCUCAAACCUCACUGAACUCUCACUAAUCAGAUGUCAAAGGUGUGUCCAACUUCCUCCAUUAGAGAAGCUAAGUGUUCUUGAGGUUCUCUCAAUAGAUGGAAUGGAUGCCACAAGGUACAUCUCUGAUGACUCCCGCACAAAUGAUGGGGUUGUUGAUUAUGCAUCAUUGAAACAUCUCACACUCAAAAAUAUGCCAUCUUUAUUGGGGUGGUCAGAAAUGGAAGAAAGAUAUCUGUUUUCCAACCUGAAGAAAUUGACAAUUGUUGAUUGCCCAAAUAUGACGGACUUCCCAAAUCUUCCGUCUGUGGAAUCUCUGGAGCUGAAUGAUUGCAACAUCCAGUUAUUAAGGAUGGCAAUGGUGAGCACUUCUCUUUCCAACCUCAUCAUCAGUGGCUUUUUAGAGCUAGUAGCUUUACCCGUUGGAUUGCUAAGAAAUAAAAUGCAUCUUUUGUCUCUUGAAAUCAAAGACUGUCCAAAGCUCAGAUCUCUCUCAGGUGAGCUUGAAGGUCUUUGUUCCCUUCAAAAAUUGACAAUUAGUAAUUGUGACAAGCUAGAAUCUUUUCUGGAGUCUGGAAGCCUCAAGUCUCUCAUAUCUUUGUCAAUACAUGGGUGCCACAGUCUAGAAUCUCUGCCAGAAGCAGGGAUUGGAGAUCUCAAGUCCCUUCAAAAUCUUUCACUCUCAAAUUGUGAGAAUCUAAUGGGCUUGCCAGAGACUAUGCAGCACCUUACAGGCCUCCAGAUUCUAUCCAUUUCAAGUUGUUCCAAAUUGGAUACCCUUCCUGAGUGGCUGGGAAACCUUGUUUCACUCCAAGAGCUGGAGCUUUGGUAUUGCGAAAAUCUACUGCAUCUGCCAGAUUCAAUGGUGAGACUCACAGCCCUUCAAUUUCUAUCGAUAUGGGGCUGUCCUCACUUGGAAAUAAUCAAGGAGGAAGGGGACGAUUGGCACAAGAUACAACAUGUUCCAUAUAUCAAGAUUAAUGGCCCUUAUAUUAAAGCUGCUGGAGUGUAGUGUAUCAAUAUCGUGGCAAGGAUAAAUUGGGGAUUAGGCAGCAGUGUUAGUUUCCAGAAUUAGGAAGCCAUGAAGAAAGAUAGCUGGCUCUUCGAACAAGCCGGUCAGUUGAACUAUAGGAAUGAAGAAGCAUACUUGUAUAAUUAUAUAGAGAUGCGACUAUCAAAUCUGUUCUUUAAGGUCUUGGCAGAGGGUUCAUAGGGGUUUAUGGGAUUGGACUUAAGAUUGUGUUUUUGUUUGUACUGAUUUAUUCUCUUGUAAUAAAGAUCUUUCCAAGCUUAUAUGUUCACCUCUGGUGAUUACUUUUCCUGCUUUA